UACGUAGGGGGCGAGCGUUGUCCGGAGUUACUGGGCGUAAAGCGCACGCAGGCGGUCUGCUAAGUUUGGAGUGACAGUUGGUGGCUUAACUGCCAAAGUGCUUCGAAAACUGACAGACUUGAGGGCUUCAGAGGGACACGGAAUUCCGGGUGUAGCGGUGGAAUGCGUAGAGAUCCGGAAGAACACCGGUGGCGAAGGCGGCCCGCUGGGCAACUGCUGACACUGAGGCGCGACAGCGUGGGGAGCAAACAGG
rnacentral:rRNA from 1 species